rnacentral:lncRNA from 1 species
AAUUAGUUGUCUGGUUUUGUAUUGACCAGUCUGGUGCUCAGGCCUUGGGGACUGUUAAAUUUGCUAUUGAAACUGAAAGGAUUAUGCACCCAAAAGAAAUUAAACGGGAGCAAUGAAUAGAUUGUGGGCCACAUGGUGGACUACUGUUUUUUUUUUCUUCCCCUUCUUCAACUAGCCUUCAUUCUUCUUCAACAGGCUCGUAUUUUCUUGUCAGAAGCUGCUGUUUUUCAUGUUAUAGAGACCCAAACUAAAAAACUGCCCUGCCAGAAAUCCCUAUUUCCCACCCCCCUUGGGCAAGACACAUCCACCAAGGGAGCCCCGGCAAUUCAUCUUUCUCCAUGCUCGAAGAGUGAUGUGGAGGAAGAGGAUGGAGAACGGUGUGGAGAUGGAGGAGGGUUGAAGUGGAGUGCUGGAGGCGUUUCCUGCCAGCACAAAAAGAGCAGAGUCAAGCCCCGCACCCCCCACCUCCUCAGCACCUCUUCAUUAGUAUGCACCGGCUGUCACACAGGUGACAUGGCCGCUGGAUUCAGUCCUGACUGCAGGAACAUCAGCAGCGUGGCAGAAAGCAGGACAGCAGGUAAGGACAAUGAGAGCAAGGGGCGGGGAGGAAGAGGGAGACAAGGGGGACAGACGAUGGACUUCUUUUAUGGACUUAGGUCACACAUGCAUACACACUUUACGAAUGUAACAUAAACACACACGUUAUCAGAUUCAAGUGCUUUUCCCUAAUAAAAUAUGCAGUGAUUUCA